rnacentral:rRNA from 1 species
AGGAUGAACGCUGGCGGUCUGCUUAACACAUGCAAGUCGAACGGAGUAGCAAUACUUAGUGGCGGACGGGUGAGUAACGCGUGAGAAUCUACCUUCAGGACGGAGACAACAGUUGGAAACGACUGCUAACCCCCGAUGUACCGAAAGGGCAAAUAUUUAUAGCCUGAAGAAGAGCUCGCGUCCGAUUAGCUAGUUGGAGAGGUAAAAGCUCACCAAGGCGACGAUCGGUAGCUGGUCUGAGAGGACGAUCAGCCACACUGGGACUGAGACACGGCCCAGACUCCUACGGGAGGCAGCAGUGGGAAUUUUCCGCAAUGGGCGAAAGCCUGACGGAGCAAGACCGCGUGGGGGAAGAAGGCUCUUGGGUUGUAAACCCCUUUUCUCUGGGAAGAACGCAAUGACGGUACCAGAGGAUCAGCAUCGGCUAACUCCGUGCCAGCAGCCGC